rnacentral:lncRNA from 1 species
UGAAUUUUCAUAUUUUAUUGAUUUACUGUGAGUAUUACCUAUGUAUUUGAAGCUUGCUGAAUUUAUUUAUGUAUUUAAAAGAUUGUUGGAUUCAUUUUUUUUGUGUGUGAGAGGUUGUUGGCAUUUUUAAAGAAUUGAAUGAUGUGAUUGAAAUUUUAUGAUUUUUGAGACAUGCAAGUAUUAAAUAUAUUUUCAUUCAAUUAAAUUGUUAUUGUUAUUACUUAUAUUUCUCUCGUAAAAUAAAAAUCAAGUUACUAUUUAUGUAUACAUCAAUCCAACCCAACUCAACUCGUUCUUGAUUGUAUUAGUUCGGGUUAAAUGAAAAAAAUAUGAAUUUAGAACUCAAUCCAAUCAAAAGAUAAUCAAUCGUUUCAGAUAUCAGAUUUUGUCAAAAUUCGUCCAACUCAAUCCACGUAAAUCCCUACAAAAAUUUAUGUAAUCGGAUGAUACAGAGUGUCAUUCUAAAAUAAAGUUGAAGGUAGUCAUGGUUUUAAUGCUUUUUUAGAAUAUAUGUUUGUUAACAUUUAAUUAUAUAAACAUCAUAACUAUGAAAUUUUCUACAUAUUUUACUAAAACUUUGUGGCAUGAAAGCUAACUUGCGGAAAUUUGCGCCGAAAGACUCGUAGAAAAAGUUCUCAAAACAAACAAUAUCAUUGCUGUUGAAUUUUAUUUAUUUGUCGCAGAACAUAUUUGUUGGAAAUUUCUUGCAGAUGCGAAAAAUCCAAAGGAACAAAUUAUUCACCAAGAUUUUACAACAGUACUAGAAUCCAUUGAAAAAUUCCACUAAAAACCUAUUUGCUGAUUUUUUUUGUCAACAUUCGGUGCAAAAUCCGCCGGAAAAAAGACCACUCUUUUGUAUAAGAAAUAUUGACAGAGCUUAACACAAUUUUAUUUCGGUAAAACACUACUUUUUUAAUUAGAAGUAAUACAUCUUAUCUUACUCAUUAAUUAUUUCACAUAAUCUUAUUGCUUUUAUUUGUUGGUUUCUAUAUUAUUUUACAUAAUAUAUUAUAUUUAUUUAUUUUUGGUUAAAAAAUAUAUUUAUUUAUUUAAAUUGAUUGAAAUUAUAUUGAUUAAGAACACUAAAAUUAAAAACUCCAUGCUUUCUAAAUAUCCAUAUAUCCGAAACUAUAAUAUUAAAUACAGUCAAAAUAUUAAAAUUACACUAAAUCAAAACACCACCGCAAAGAAAAAAAAGCAAAACAACAAAACAAUGAAGUAGUUGAUUAUAAUUAUUCAGCAAUAUUCUUGAUGACCAUGUCUUGUAAAUAAUAAUGGAAACGACACGUGGAUUGUAUUAUUCGUUUGCUUUUGAACACUACGCCAAAAAUGACAUUUAACAGCGCCCAUUUUACAGCGCUUGCUAAACACAAGCGCUGUUGUAAUUAUAAUUUAAAAAUAACGGAACCUUUUACCGCGCUUUUGAUGACAAGCGCUGUAAAACAAGUGCUGUAGUAGGUCAUAUAACGUUUGCGCAUCACGUUAUAAGGCUUUUACAGCGCUUAUCAAAAGAGCGCUGUAAAAGGAAGCGCUUUCGCGUAUCAAUUACAGCGCUUUUUUCACAAGCUGCUGUAAACACACGCGCUUCCAAAUAUUUGAACUACCUAAUAUAGCACUUUUUUCACAAGCGCUGUAAAAUACAUGCGCUUUGAUUGAAUUUAACUACCUAUUACAUCGCUUUUUUCACAAGCGCUGUAAAAUACAUGCGCUUUCAUUGAAUUUAACUACCUAUUACAGCGCUUUUUUCACAAGCGCUGUAAAUUGCAUCUUUCAAAUAAUUAUAUACGUUGGAAACCCUCAUAUCCUCU